UACGUAGGGAGCAAGCGUUGUCCGGAAUCAUUGGGCGUAAAGCGCGCGUAGGCGGCCCUGUAAGUCCGCUGUGAAAGUCAAAGGCUCAACCUUUGAAAGCCGGUGGAUACUGCAGGGCUAGAGUCCGGAAGAGGCGAGUGGAAUUCCUGGUGUAGCGGUGGAAUGCGCAGAUAUCAGGAGGAACACCGAUGGCGAAGGCAGGUCUCUGGGCCGAUACUGACGCUGAGGAGCGAAAGCCAGGGGAGCAAACGGG
rnacentral:rRNA from 1 species